CUGUCAGAUCAGAUUAAUGGAGAGAGUAGGCGGAAUUCGUAGUGUAGCGGUGAAAUGCAUAGAUAUUACGAAGAACUCCAAUAGUGUAGACUGCUUACCAGACCAUAUCUGACACUAAGGCACGAAAGUGUGGGUAUCAAACAGGAUUAGAUACCCUGGUAGUCCACACAGUAAACGAUGAAUACUAACUGUUUGCGAUAUACAGCAAGUGGUCGAGCGAAAGCGUUAAGUAUUCCACCUGGGAAGUAUGCCGGCAACGGUGAAACUCAAAGGAAUUGACGGGGGCCCGCACAAGCGGAGGAACAUGUGGUUUAAUUCGAUAAUACGCGAGGAACCUUACCCGGGCUCGAACGAUAUUUGAAUACAUCCGAAAAGAUGUAGCUAGCAAUAGCAAAUACCGAGGUGCUGCAUGGUUGUCGUCAGCUCGUGCCGUGAGGUGUCGACUUAAGUGUCAUAACGAGCGCAACCCUUACCGAUAGUUACCAUCAGAUAAUGCUGGGGACUCUAUUGGGACUGCCACCGUAAGGUGUGAGGAAGGAGAGGAUGACGUCAAAUCAGCACGGCCCUUAUGUCCGGGGCGACACACGUGUUACAAUGGGAGAAACAAAGGGUCGCUACCUGGCAACAGGAUGCUAAUCUCGAAAAUCUCUCUCAGUUCGGAUUGGAGUCUGCAACUCGACUCCAUGAAGCUGGAUUCGCUAGUAAUCGCACAUCAGCCAUGGUGCGGUGAAUACGUUCCCGAGCCUUGUACACACCGCCCGUCAAGCCAUGGAAGCUGGAAGUACCUGAAGUAUGUAACUAAAAGAGCGUCCUAAGU
rnacentral:rRNA from 1 species